GCCGAGAAUGGUGGUGUAUUCCUGUAAUCCAACUACUUGGAGGGUAGGUACAGAGGAUGUUUUAGAGGCGGGAAUUCUGAAGAGGGAUUUCCCACGUUUACUAGGCGUCAAUCUUGGGAGUGGGAGUUCAAUUUAUUCAAAACAAGAACAGCCCUGACCUGU
rnacentral:SRP_RNA from 1 species